GCUCCUUGGGGGCAAAGUUAAAUCAAACAUCUCUGGUUGCACUUUCUUCAUUCAGGUAUGGGUAAACUAAGCUGGUUUGAGUCUUGUGCAUACGAAGAUGCAUAUGUGAUGACUAAUAUUGUAGAUAAAUAAUGCCACAGGUGUUCUAUCUGGACAAUCUUGAUCUUGAGGACGAGAACCUACCACACGACGUCUUCCCAAGAUGCAAGGUCUAUGAUCAGAAAAAGAUUAGCAUGGUUAUUGAAAAGGACACAAGCGCAGGAAAGAACGCAGAUAUUGUUAUAUACGGACUACUUCUGGUACAGUCCUAAACGUUGACCCUACUCAUUUUGGUUGUUUUUCAGAUGUUAUCUUUGCAUUAUGUUUGCGACUAACUUGCAGUGAAUAUUUGUUGUUCAGCCGAGGCCGGCGCACACAGUGUGCUAUAGCAGGAACAGAGCUUCAAUGUCCUUCAUUGGCAAGAUUGCUGAUAUCGGAGCCGGGUCAAGCAGAUAUCAAAGAGCACCGAUGAUCGAGGAGGUACUAAAGUUAUCGCAAUAUACAUAUUGACCUACGUGCUAGUGUGUUCAGAAUGCUGCAUGAUGUACAUUCAGUGCUGAUUUCCGUUUUGUGUAAUAUCAGAUUGUUACUAUACUUGUGGAAAAAGUGGGCCAAUAUUCAUCUAGAUGCCGAGCAGCGUUGCAAGCGGCGUCUAAGAAAGGGGCCAAGAUAAACAAAAAGCACGCGGAUGGGUGGGAUGGUGUUGUGAGGGAGACUGACAUUUUCAUUGAAGAAGAGACCUCUAAGAUGCUCGCAGAUAUUGAUGAAAUAUCAGAAACUGUAAGGCAGAACAACAAAAGGCCAAGGGAACAAGACUACCAAGGUAAACGAGUUAUGCUAUGAAUAUGACCAAAAUUAAAUGGACCAGGACUUGAUGAAUCAUAUGUUGUGCUUGUAAUUGAUACCUUUGUAUUGACGAUACAGAUGAUGAUGUCUCAC
rnacentral:lncRNA from 1 species